UCAGAGAGUUCACCAGGGACAUAGAGUAAUGAGGAUCAAGCCCAGGGCCUUGCAUCUGCUGAGCAAAUCUACCACUGAGCUACAUCUGUAGACUUUUUAUCCAAUUAUAGUAUAAUACACAUUUCUCGUGAACACAACAGUGUUCUAUGGUGUAGU